rnacentral:rRNA from 1 species
UACGGAGGGUGCAAGCGUUAAUCGGAAUUACUGGGCGUAAAGCGUGCGCAGGCGGUUUUGUAAGCCAGAUGUGAAAGCCCCGGGCUUAACCUGGGAAUGGCAUUUGGGACUGCAAGGCUGGAGUGUGGCAGAGGAGACUGGAAUUCCUGGUGUAGCAGUGAAAUGCGUAGAUAUCAGGAGGAAUACCGAUGGCGAAGGCAGGUCUCUGGGCUGACACUGACGCUCAUGCACGAAAGCGUGGGGAGCAAACAGG